AUUGAACGCUGGCGGCAUGCUUUACACAUGCAAGUCGAACGGCAGCGCGGGCUUCGGCCUGGCGGCGAGUGGCGAACGGGUGAGUAAUACAUCGGAACGUGCCCAGUAGUGGGGGAUAGCUCGCCGAAAGCCGGAUUAAUACCGCAUACGACCUGAGGGUGAAAGCGGGGGAUCUUCGGACCUCGCGCUAUUGGAGCGGCCGAUGGCAGAUUAGCUAGUUGGUGGGGUAAAGGCCUACCAAGGCGACGAUCUGUAGCUGGUCUGAGAGGACGACCAGCCACACUGGGACUGAGACACGGCCCAGACUCCUGCGGGAGGCAGCGGUGGGGAAUUUUGGACAAUGGGCGAAAGCCUGAUCCAGCAAUGCCGCGUGUGUGAUGAAGGCCUUCGGGUUGUAAAGCACUUUUGGCGGGAACGAAAAGGACUGUGCCAAUACCACGGUUCGAUGACGGUACCCGCAGAAUAAGCACCGGCUAACUACGUG
rnacentral:rRNA from 1 species